CAGGAAUCAUGACAGAGAGACUCAUUUACACCUCACUGCAAGAUUUCACACAAAUGCAGAUGCAACUAUCAAGCCCUCUGAACACGGUUUGGAUCAGCCAUAUGUUUGUGCGGAUGCUGCAUAUCAUUAAAACAGAGCUUCACCUUUGACCCUCAGAUCUCAGCCAAAGUACUGGAAACUUCUUAUUGUGGACCCCCAAUGCUCAGAUGGCUUUACUCUCUGUUAUACACCACAAUACAAGACUUUUCAAUAUGACCAUGUGGAGGACAAAGGCCUCUUGGUGGGAAUAAAGAUGAAGAGAGAGAGAGUUUCUUGCUGCUCUGUUCCUGCUCUCUUGAAGGGAUUGAAAAUUUCUUGGUGUAUGUCU